CAUACAAUUUCCAGCAGUUAUCCAUUAACUUGGGUGUGGAGAUGCAUCCGUCGUGCCCGACAGGAAGCUGACGAGGCUAUGCAAGGACGAAUAGUUAAAGAAAUUGGAAAUAAACAAGUAUAAAUGUGUCUUUAACAUUCCUUUGGAAAGUCUCGGUUCCAUGUUCCAUUCCUCGAAAGCUCAUUCGGGAAUUCAUUCCAAGCAGCUGCAGCGGAUGGGAAGUCUUU
rnacentral:sRNA from 1 species